AUACGGAGGGUGCAAGCGUUGUUCGGAAUUACUGGGCGUAAAGCGCGCGUAGGCGGUCUGUUAUGUCAGAUGUGAAAGUCCUCGGCUCAACCGGGGAAGUGCAUUUGAAACUGGCAGACUUGAGUACUGGAGGGGGUGGUGGAAUUCCCGGUGUAGAGGUGAAAUUCGUAGAUAUCAGGAAGAAUACCGGUGGCGAAGGCGACCACCUGGCCAGAUACUGACGCUGAGGUGCGAAAGCGUGGGGAGCAAACAGGAUUAGAAACCCCAGUAGUCC
rnacentral:rRNA from 1 species